ACACUCAAACCGAGAACCGGUGAAGGCGGGUGAAGUUUAUAUUCCAGCCCCGCCCAUCCGCUGUCUCUUCACCCAGCUCUGAGAUAACCCUUAGCCCGCAAGCGCUCCAGAAACGCCAGCUGAUGCCAAUAACGAUGAUAGCCACGUGGGAGCGAGCAGAGGACAUCUUCACGGGAUAAUCACCUGGCUUCCUCGCAGCUGACAGAGGUCAUGGCUGGAGAUGCAGGAGCCAUCCUGAAAGCUACCUUGAAGUAAAGGCCAGGAGAAUUGCAGAGACCUCGGCUCCCACAUCCUAAAGCUGCCACACCUGACCUGGGCUACUUUCCUCAAGACUUAAACAUCAACUUACAGGAGCCACUCACUCCUUUUGAGAAUUUUGUUAUUUGCAGCCAAACUGAAUUCCUUGCUAUUUCAACAUCUAGAAUGAACAGUUUCUAGAACAGAUACUCCUAACCCACAGUGAACACAUUCUGCGGUAGCUUCAAAGCUUCUGACACACGCACACACCGCCUGCCCUGUGAUUGGCAGAAUAAUGCCCCACACCUCACGAUGUCCCCAUCCAAUCUAAAACAUGACACAAAUGAUCUUGCAACAAAAGAGAAUCAGACUCACAGACAUAGAGAACAGACUUGUGGUUGGAGAGUUGGAUUGGAAGUUUGGGAUUAGCAAAUGCAAGCUAUCACAUAUAGGAUGAAUAAACAAGAUUCUACUGAAUAGCACAGGGAACAAUAUUCAAUAUCCUUUCAUAAACCAUAAAAAAGAAUAUGAAAAAGAAUACACGUACGUAUAGCUGAGUCACUCUGCUGCACAGCAGGAAUUAACACAAGAUUGUAAAUCCACUAUACUUCAACAAAAUAAAGUGCUGUUUUUUUUUUUUGUUUUUUGGUUUUUUUUGUUUUUUUUUUUAAGUCAGGAGUUCCCAUUGUGGCUCAGUGGUUAACAAAUCCGACUAAGAACAAUGAGGUUGCAGGUUCCAUCCCUGGCCUUGCUCAGUGGGUUGGGAAUACGGCAUUGCUGUGAGCUGUGGUGUAGGCUGCAGACGCAGCUUGGAUUCCGAGUUGCUGUGGCUCUGGCGUAGACCAGUGGCUACAGCUUUGACUGGACCCCUAGCCUGGGAACCUCCAUAUGCCACGGGAGUGGCCCUAGAAAAGGCAAAAAGACAAAAAAGAAACUCCCUAUCCUUGGUAUAUAUACACAAUGGAAUACUAUUCAGCCAUUAAAAAAGAACAAAAUAAUGCCAUUUGCAGCAACAUGGAUGGAACUAGAAACUCUCAUACUAAGUGAAGUCAGAAAGAGAAAGACAAAUACCAUAUGGUAUCACUUACAUCUGGAAUCUAAUAAAUGGCACAAGUGAAUUUUUCCACAGAAAAGAAACUCAUGGACAUGGAGAACAGAUUAGUGGUUGCCAAGGGGGAAGGGGAGGGAGUGGGAUGAACUGGAAAUUUGGAGUUAAUAAAUGCAAACUAUUGCCUUUGGAAUGGGUAAACAAUGAGAUCCUGCUGUAUAGGACUGGGAACUAUACAUAUCUAGUCACUUAUGAUGGAGCAUGAUAAUGUGAGAAAAAAGAAUGUAUAUAUGAUUGUGUGACUGGGUCACCUAAGCUGUAUG
rnacentral:lncRNA from 1 species